rnacentral:misc_RNA from 1 species
CGAACUCCGCCAUCGCGAUUAGCAGCGCCAUUCGUGUGAGUUCGUCGCCUUUCGUUUGACGGACUGUGCGACGUGUACGGGUGUGUGCGAAAGUAUGAAGUGAAAUCGUACAUAAAAGUGUGUGAAAUGUUUAGUGUAAGUUUUUACUGUGCUACAAAACCAAAAUGAGUGCAAACGGAUGAUUUUACGCCUGAAUUUCGAUUAACAAUUAGUACGGUCGCGGAACACGUAACAUUUUGUAUGGUCGGUUUCAAAAUGGCUGUGUUUUGAAGGACCCUUUGUCCGCUUUCAUUUGCCUCUCCAGCAUGAUAGUGGGAUCAUACAGACAGAAGGUUAUCUUUGUAAGGGAAUGCAUGUCAUGUGCCCGGAGCAGACGCAGUAUAUCACCAGUCAGCUCGAGCCCCGCCACCUGCCGGCACUGUCGCCGGCUCAGCCAGCCAAGCAGCGCGUGCUGAGUCCGCUCGCACCCGCUAGCCGCACCAGCCGCCCGCGCCGCCACAGCACAGCACACUUCGCUCACUGCAAGGUAAACAAGUGUUCAAGUUACAAGUAGCUGCGGGCUAUAACAUCGAGGUCAGUAAACAACAACACAAAUUGCCAGGCGCAAUUACCUCACUCCACCAAAAUUAAACGGAACAAAUCUACACGGAAACUACUUGCCUAAAAAAUACACACACACGGAGUGGCGUGCACAGGGUUUUUAACCGAAUUCCAAAAAGGA